UAAUUGGCGUUCUGGACGUAUUUUUUCGCUAAAUCAGUGCUCAGUGUAUCCAGUGAUCAUUAUAAAGCAAGAAUUAUCACAUCAUAUUUCCCCAUAACAAUCUUUGUAUCGUUAUCAGUACCUUAUUGAUCUCAAAUUAUCACGAAUAGCCUAGAGGAUCCACCGCUUUUCAGAAUUUCAUAGUGAAUAUGAAUUAGCUCUUGUCUUCAAAUUUGCAACUUGAGUGUAGGAAUUUUCUUGUUUGUGAUUGGUUUUGUCUCAAUUUUCUUUAUUAGGUAAUCGCAUGUAGAAUCAGGACUGAAUGAUGAUGAUAUUGUACAACAAGUUGUAAAAUAUGUAUUUGACCUUGAUGAUAUGCUCGAACCACGUCUAAUUUACUACGUAAUAUAGAUCUAGAAACAACUGGAUUUCCUUCACAAAAGAGCACAACAAGAAUCACCGAAUUAAGUAUUUCAAUUGUGGAAAGCAAGCAACUUUCUUUAGGAAUUUUUCCUACGGUACUCGACAGAAUUAAUUUAUGCUUCAAUCCAUGCAAAUUUAUUUCUCCAUAUGCAACCAGAAUAUCUGGUUUAUCCAAUCAUUUAUUGCAGAAUCAGUCUAGAUUUUCUUUGAAUGUUGUCAAAACCAUUGAUAAUUUCCUAAAUUUGCAUAAGAAACCCAUUUGUUUUGUGGCUCAUAAUGGUGAUCGUUUUGAUUAUCCUAUAUUGAGAGCUGAAAUUAACAAUGUUAAAGGAACAACUUUCGAAGAUAUUUUGUGCAUAGAUUCCCUGAAAUGUUUCAGAGAUCUGCAUGUAGAAUCAAAUACUUCAAUAGCAUCACCAUCUAAUGAAUAUUUCUGUAGAGAAGAAGUUGACGGUCCUUUUUCUAAGAAAGCAAAGGAUAUUCCUAUAGAAUUCAGUGAUGGUCUUGAUGAACUGUUAUGUAAGAGUGUGGAUGAAUACGAAGAAUUCGUUCAAAUGCAAAAUAUCCAGAAAAACAAUGAAACAACACCACAAAAGCGAAUAAAUUCUAAAAAAUAUUACAAAUCUGGAAAACAGAGGAUUAGUUUCAAAUUAAAGGAUAUUUAUAAACGGUUGACUUCAAAUAAACCCAAAAAUUCUCACCAAGCUGAAGUUGAUGUUGAGUAUUUAAUACAAUGUGCAAUAAAAUACGGUGAUGUCUUCACAAGAUGGGCUAAUGAUAAUGCCAAAUUAUUCAAGGAUAUUCCUCAAAUGAAG